rnacentral:rRNA from 1 species
AUUGAACGCUGGCGGCAGGCCUAACACAUGCAAGUCGAGCGGAAGAAGGGAGCUUGCUCCUGGAUUCAGCGGCGGACGGGUGCGUAAUGCCUAGGAAUCUGCCUGGUAGUGGGGGAUAACGUCCGGAAACGGGCGCUAAUACCGCAUCCGUCCUGAGGGAGAAAGUGGGGGAGCUUCGGACCUCACGCUAUCAGAUGAGCCUAGGUCGGAUUAGCUAGUUGGUGGGGUAAAGGCCUACCAAGGCGACGAUCCGUAACUGGUCUGAGAGGAUGAUCAGUCACACUGGAACUGAGACACGGUCCAGACUCCUACGGGAGGCAGCAGUGGGGAAUAUUGGACAAUGGGCGAAAGCCUGAUCCAGCCAUGCCGCGUGUGUGAAGAAGGUCUUCGGAUUGUAAAGCACUUUAAGUUGGGAGGAAGGGCAGUAAGUUAAUACCUUGCUGUUUUGACGUUACCAACAGAAUAAGCACCGGCUAACUUCGUG